rnacentral:rRNA from 1 species
AGCUUUGAGCUAAAUAUAUUAUAAUAUUAGUUAUUUAAAAAAGGUGUCGUAUAACCUUAUUAAAAAUUAUAUUUAGGGGUGAUAGGCUUUUCAAAAACUAAGAUAUCUUGAAUCUAAUUAAAAGUAUGUAGUACAAUUAACACGACUAUUAAGUGAUUAGGCUUUAUAGGACUAUUAAACUUUAAGAUAUUUUAUUUAUUAUAAUUUAAUAACUAAGUAUAUAUAAAAAUUAACAUUCAUAUAUUGUAUUUUAUAAAAGAAUAAUUAGAUAGAUUUAAGUUUAUAAAAAUUGUAAUAAUGUUAAUAUUAGUAUAUAAUUUAUAUUUAUAUGAUGAACUCGGCAAAAAUGCUUCUCAACUGUUUAUCAAAAACAUAACUAUGUGAAAAAAUACAUAGCGGUUUCUGCUCAA